UUGGAGGGAGGUGGUGUGUUCACGUGAGCCUACAUCCGAGGGUGCUCUUCGUAAGGGGUAGUUGUUGUUUUAUAGCUCCAAAUGGUUUUUUUAUUCUCAGUGUAGCAACUGUUUGAUUUCUUUCUGGAUACAGCUGUAUGAACACUUUUCUAUUUUAUACUGAAAUCACACAGGUUUGUGAUCUAAGUGCCAGAACCAUGGAGGAGACUCUGGCCUUAUCUGUAGGGACCUAAAUUUUUUAAGUGCUAUGAACACUGAUCAAGUAGUUGUGGAGAGAUGAGAAGAAUAUAUGCAGCAAAGGUGCUGUGAGCCCAGUUCCAACGGCUGUGUUCUGGUAAUCGUGCAGAACAGCAUGUGGGCUCUGGGCCUUGGCAGGUGCACAGACGGGCGGGCGUCACGUGUGUUCAGAGCUUGUCUCCACCUCACGGCUCUGUGCUCUUCUGUGUGCUGCGUUGUGGCCGUGAAGUGGGAGCUCUCCUUUCCAAAGGCAGAGCUUACUGUCAUGGCUCAGAUGUUCACUCGCAUCUUCACCCCAAACUUCCCUGAAUUGCAGUGAUUUCUGUUAUAAGGCACAUAGCAAGCCUGUACCACUCUACAGUAAAAUCUCUACACUAACAGUUUAAAGCCCGAAAGCUGAAGCAUUCAGCCUCUGCAAGUGUAGACUACUGGACUGUAGUAGAGGCAUUUGGAAUACUUACAAAGUCAAGUGCUGUGGCUUCAGUUCCCCCGGCUCCCCACCCCUGACAUCCAUACUUAUGUUGUCUGGAAGAGCCAUGGACACAUCAUUAUUUUCAGCAACCAGCUGCAGUGAAACUCCAUUUACAGCAACCCCAUAGUAUAAAACCACAAUGCCUCAUUGUAAUGGGAUAUUGAAGUUCAUUGAAGAAUUACUAGGUUGCCAUGUGGCUCACUUAUUUAAAAAAAAAAAAAAAAAACUCACCCGUUUUCCUGGGAUUUGUUGUAAGGAGUUUUCACUGGCCUCACUCAGACCAAUUUCUGCUUCAAAAAGCACUGAAUGUGACCUGUUGCAUUCAGUUGUAGCAUCAAAUCCACACCUAGUCAUUGCUUGAGGGGCCAAAUUGUGUUCUGUCCCAUGCACGCUCUAUUUGGUGUUAAAAUGGAACCUUACGGUUGUGUUUUAAGUAUUCAUUGAAACCAGCUUCAGAAAACAAGAUGCCAUAGUAAAUUGAGAAUAACAUUUUUUCCUUCUUCAGGGUGGCUGUAAUUCCAGGUGGCCGUGAUUUCUUUCUUCCCCACUGCCCACUCCUUCGCCAAACCCACGUAUUCAGUGUUCUGAUCUUGUUUGUGCAGAGUGAACUCUGAUGCAGUAUCAGUCUUGUCCUGGGAGCCGGGUCCUGCUGCUCACAAGCCCAGAGCUGCCAGGGAGCUCCUGGCAGUAGCACGUUGUUUAGAAAGUUGGGUGGCUUCAUUCAGCAUGGAACAAGCUAAUGGCACAGGAGACAUCAGGGCAGCUGUUAAUUCCAAAUAUUUGUUCCCAAGUAGCUACUGAACUGCUCACACCAUUGGAAGAUUUUGUAUUUUCAUACCAAUUAGUAAAAAUAAGAACAUUGAGGAGCAGUCAGAGCCCAGUGUUAAUCUCCGGCAGAGAUGGGGUUUAUGUAUGUUCAGCCAGAUAGUAAAUGGGAUUUUUGGAGAAAUAAGAUAACUACAAAGUUUCUAUACUUACUAUAAGUGGAUUUAGAAGCGAUUUUGGUUUUGUAUUACAUACGGUAGUCCUCUGCGUCAGGGAGCACUUUUUUGUUUGCCUCGAGACUACUCAUUAGCGCACUGGCUAAGCUGCCUUUGCCUUCUCGUAGGCGUGGGUUGCCUGUGUCAUGGGCUGUGUAGACCACAACACUCAAACACAGUUGCUGCACUUGGAUUUUCCUUUAAUACCAAGUAUCAUUUGGUUAUCUUACUGGGACAUUUUCAUUGAUAUUCUAUACACCAAAGUUUUGACGGUUUACCAUCAUUCCAUUUUGUACCAGUUAAAGGCAUUUUGAUGAUGCUUUUUCUUGAUGCUAAGAUCACUGCAGAAGAAUAACCUGACCUUUUCUUUGCAUUUGUUUUGAAUGUCUAACACCAUUAGCUUUUGUGAUCUGGUUAAGAAGUAUUAGUGCCACAAGCCUGAAAAGACAGUUCUCCUGUGGCAGUGGCGAUGUGGCAUCCAGAGGGCCAUUGUUUCUACUUUUGUGGGACUUCAGUCAUGCUGAUAAUAGAAUCUUCUGUUCAUACAAUUCUGUAAUAUUUAUUUGUACAGUUAGUAUUCUAAUGAAAGGAUGAAGAGUCUGAACUAGAAGGUAGGUUUAAGCCAUCACCAGGCCUUUGCAAAUGGCCUAAAUGGUGUUCCCUUUGAAAUAACGCUUGCCACAAGUAUAUAAUAAGCUAUAUUAAUUGUGUUUUGCAUAAAAUUGCCAAAACACAGUAAUGUGUAUAUAGUGGUAUAAGAUCUUGAAAAAAAUCUCUAUAAUUGUGCUCUUUAUCUGUGAAUGGGAAAAGCCAUUUUUAGUAGGUGACUACCAUUUGAAAAACUCAAUUGGAUGUAUAUCUGAAUGUUGCAUUGUAUUGUACAGUAUGCAUAUUAUUGUUUGUGGUUGCAUAUGGCAAUGAAGUGUUUGUUUUAUAUUAAAAAAAACCUGUUAUGUACAGUUGAAAUAAAUUUUGCAUUUGCU
rnacentral:lncRNA from 1 species